AGAGCGAACGCUGGCGGCAGGCCUAACACAUGCAAGUCGAGCGCCCGUAGCAAUACGGGAGCGGCAGACGGGAUAGUAACACGUGGGAACGCGCCCUUCGGUUCGGAAUAACUCAGGGAAACUUGAGCUAAUACCGAAUACGCCCUUACGGGGAAAGAUUUAUUGCCGAAGGAACGGCCCGCGUCCGAUUAGCUAGUUGGUGAGGUAAUGGCUCACCAAGGCUACGAUCGGUAGCUGGUCUGAGAGGAUGACCAGCAUCACUGGAACUGAAACACGGUCCAGACUCCUACGGGAGGCAGCAGUGGGGAAUUUUGCGCAAUGGGGAAACCCUGACGCAGCAACGCCGCGUGGAGGAUGAAAUAUCUUGGUAUGUAAACUCCUUUCGAUGGGGAAGAUAAUGACGGUACCCAUAGAAGAAGCCCGGCUAACUUCGUGCCAGCAGCCGC
rnacentral:rRNA from 1 species